GACGUAGGGCGCGAGCGUUGUCCGGAUUUAUUGGGCGUAAAGAGCUCGUAGGCGGCUUGUCGCGUCGACCGUGAAAACUUGGGGCUCAACCCCAAGCCUGCGGUCGAUACGGGCAGGCUCGAGUUCGGUAGGGGAGACUGGAAUUCCUGGUGUAGCGGUGAAAUGCGCAGAUAUCAGGAGGAACACCGGUGGCGAAGGCGGCAUCCUGGACCAACACUGACGCUGAGUGAGCGAAAGCCAGGGGAGCAAACGGG
rnacentral:rRNA from 1 species